rnacentral:lncRNA from 1 species
CACACUUAGCGGAAUUUAUUCCACACACCUGUAUUGUGUACUCCAUGUAUGAAUGAGGCCUCAUGGGCAGACAUUAGUGGCACUGAAAACAGCCAGUGCCAGUGUAACCAGUAUCUCUAAAUCACUUUGGGCACAGGUCUAAGCUCUCCACCCAUUGGAGAAUAGGAGCAAAAGCCUGUCUUCAGGUGAGAGCCUGAGCAAGCAUCUGGAAAGAACUACAAGGGAAUUUUAGACCCAAAAGGGGAAUGAAUGUGCCAAGCACAGAUCUAGCAGGAAAGAGAAGGUUGCAGAUCAUGACUUGAGGGGCUGAUGUGACACGUGGAGGCAGUUGGGUCUGUCAUGCUCAAUUUGGUCCUCUGGGAAACCUAGCUGGCUGUUUGCCUCCCAUUGACACAGUUUAUAAUCAUCACCUGAUCAGGGAGACCUUUCUCAACAACUCCUGGUGCUUGCCUGGUGAAGGGAGCCACUCAGGCAGUUCAGGCUGAAGACCACGGCGAGCACCACAAAGAGCUGCAGGACUCACCAUAAACAGAGAGAGAAAUUAUAACCUGUGUCCAGCAAGCUCAUUGCCUGGCAAUCUUCCUCCCUUUCAUUUGCAGAGUAGCACACUAAAAGCUGGCAAGACAGACUUUAUGCAAAGCCCUUCUGCAGUAAAGGAAAUUUCUCUGCAGACGAAUGUUGGAUUAAACAAAUUCCCUGGUCCAAGUGGUAGGGCACAUGUUGUGCUCCUGUUCUCUGAGAUGGGGCAGCAGCCUCUUACCAGCUGUUACACCUAUGAACAUUUGUGCUUUCAAAUAAAAAUAUUGUUAAAAUGAAAUCUAUAUUUGUGCUUCCUAUGUUGCUGGUCUUAAAAGUAGACAGGUAUGACAAGGCCUAAAAAAGAGCUUGGAGAGUUU